CCCCUUCAGAGCGGCAACGGUGGGCUGUGUUUGCGGUUGCAUUUAGCGUCUUCUGUAUUGGUGAAUGCCGGUAGCCGUGCGGGUCUCGUCUCUCCCUCACUCUCCUUAAGCCUGUGUGAACUCUAUAAAGUUGCUGCAGGCCGGUGGUGGUGCUGGUGACUCGGGUGGUGGUGUCCCUUCCUUCUGUGUGCCGUGUCCUGGGAUUUUUGGGUGAUUUCACAUUGUGUGUGUGCUUGCCACGUGUGUUGAGUGUCUGAUUAUUUUCACCUCAAUAUUAUUUUGUAUUUGGUAGACUCCCCACUCCUCUCACUAGCUCCUGCCCACACCCAUAGGCCUCAGCUCCUGACUCAUAUUACUUUCUUUUCGUAUGGUUGGAUUUUAUAGUCUUUUAGAGUAUUUUUGAAAUAAAGUGUAUUUCUUGUUGUAAGUACUUGGACUCAUGUCUCUUGCCUGGGGUAUAACGAACCUGUGUCCUAUUAUUGUUAAUGGUGAAUAAUUCCUUGGGUGAAAUUCCCAAGGUGGCGUUGUCAGGCAAU